GUGUCAGCAGCCGCGGUAAUACGGAGGAUCCAAGCGUUAUCCGGAUUCAUUGGGUUUAAAGGGUGCGUAGGCGGCUUAUUAAGUCAGCGGUGAAAGCCUGGAGCUUAACUCCAGAACUGCCAUUGAUACUGAUGAGCUUGAGUACACUUGAAGUGGGCGGAAUGUGUCGUGUAGCGGUGAAAUGCUUAGAUAUGACACAGAACACCGAUUGCGAAGGCAGCUCACUAAAUUGUAACUGACGCUGAGGCACGAAAGCGUGGGGAUCAAACAGGAUUAGAUACCCUGGUAGUCCACGCCGUAAACGUUGAUAACUCGAUGUGUGCGAUAUACAGUACGCGUCUAAGCGAAAGCAUUAAGUUAUCCACCUGGGGAGUACGAUCGCAAGAUUGAA
rnacentral:rRNA from 1 species